UAGCUCAGCUGGUAAAGCAUCUGCCUGCAAUGCAGGAGACCCUGGUUUGAUUCCUGG
rnacentral:tRNA from 1 species